GGCUUAGUUGAGUUGAGUUGGGUUUAUCUAUCUAGAGGAAUACAUAACAAGCUAAUUUAUAUAUCCUUGAAAUCCUAGUCAUACUUUGGAAAAUUUAUUGAAAUGUAAAUCCUAAUGACUCAUUUAAUAAUUAAAAAUUAAGGAAAAUAAUGCCUAAAAUAACUCAAUAACUACAAUUAGAAUAAUUAAAUUAGAAAAUACUAUAUAAGAAUUAUAUAAUCUAUGUUGACACCCUAAGUCCAAUCCUUCCACUUAAGGAUGGACCGACAAUGUGGGCAAUGGGGGCACUUGCCCCCAUUGCUCCCAAAGAGAUCCUUUUAAGUUUUAUAGUAGAAUUUUUUUUUCUCUUUAAUUAUUGAAGUUUGCCCCCACAUUUAAGAAUUUCUACUUGUCUGAUGUUAAACAUUUUUUUUUACUUAAUGUGAAUUUGUCCACAAACUAAAAAAUUUAAAUUAUUCAUUGAUU
rnacentral:misc_RNA from 1 species